GCUCGCGUUUUCACACAAACCCCCCNUUUUAAAAGUGUAGAAUGACCUCAUUUAUGCGCUAACCCGCAAUCAAUACAACUUUCAACAACGGAUCUCUUGGCUCUCGCAUCGAUGAAGAACGCAGCGAAAUGCGAUACGUAAUGUGAAUUGCAGAAUUCAGUGAAUCAUCGAAUCUUUGAACGCACCUUGCGCCCCUUGGUAUUCCGAGGGGCACACCCGUUUGAGUGUCGUGAAAACCUCAACCUCCUUGGUUUCUUCUGGAGACCAAAGCAGGCUUGGACUUUGGAGGCCUUUGCUGGCACCUCUCUUUUGAAGGCCAGCUCCUCUUAAACAAAUUAGCAGGGUCCUCUUUGCCGAUCCUCGACGUGUGAUAAGAUGUUUCCAUGUCUUGGUUUCUGGCUCUGUCACCUUUUGGGACCCGCUUCUAACCGUCUUGACCUUGCGUCGAGACAACGUUCGAGCAUGUCUCCCUUUCUCCGGGAGGCUCCCUUGACCCCACGAACCCUUGACCUCAAAUCGGGUGAGACUACCCGCUGAACUUAAGCAUAUCAAUAAGCGGAGGAAAAGAAACUACAAGGAUUACCCCUAGUAACUGCGAGUGAAGCGGGAAAAGCUCAAAUUUAAAAUCUGGCGGUACUG
rnacentral:rRNA from 1 species